rnacentral:rRNA from 1 species
UACGGAGGGGGCUAGCGUUGUUCGGAAUUACUGGGCGUAAAGCGCGCGUAGGCGGCUUCGCAAGUCAGCGGUGAAAGCCUGGGGCUCAACCCCGGAACUGCCUUUGAGACUGCGUCGCUUGAAUCCGGGAGAGGUGGGUGGAAUUCCGAGUGUAGAGGUGAAAUUCGUAGAUAUUCGGAAGAACACCAGUGGCGAAGGCGGCUCACUGGACCGGCAUUGACGCUGAGGUGCGAAAGCGUGGGGAGCGAAUGGG